GCCUACGGGGCGCAGCAGUGAGGAAUAUUGGUCAAUGGGCGCGAGCCUGAACCAGCCAAGUAGCGUGAAGGAUGACUGCCCUACGGGUUGUAAACUUCUUUUAUAAAGGAAUAAAGUGAGGCACGUGUGCCUUUUUGUAUGUACUUUAUGAAUAAGGAUCGGCUAACUCCGUGCCAGCAGCCGCGGUAAUACGGAGGAUCCGAGCGUUAUCCGGAUUUAUUGGGUUUAAAGGGUGCGCAGGCGGCGAGUUAAGUCAGCGGUAAAAUUUCGGGGCUCAACCCCGACGAGCCGUUGAAACUGGCUUG
rnacentral:rRNA from 1 species